rnacentral:rRNA from 1 species
CCUACGGGUGGCAGCAGUCGAGGAUCUUCGGCAAUGGGGGAAACCCUGACCGAGCGACGCCGCGUGUGGGAUGAAGGCCCUCGGGUUGUAAACCACUGUCAGAGGGGAUGAAAUGCUAUGGGGUUCUCUCCAUAGUUUGACAUAUCCUCAGAGGAAGGACGGGCUAAGUUCGUGCCAGCAGCCGCGGUAAUACGAACCGUCGAAACCACUUUCGGAAUCACUGGGCUUAAAGGCGCCGUAGGUUGCGCUUGAAAGCCCUCGGCUUAACCGAGGAAUAGCGCUCAAUACGGCUGUGCUUGAGGGAGAUAGAGGUGAGCGGAACUUAGGGUGGAGCGGUGAAAUGCGUUGAUAUCCUAAGGAACACCUGGGGCGAAAGCGGCUCACUGGAUCUUUUCUGACGCUGAUGCACGAAAGCUAGGGUAGCGAACGGGAUUAGAUACCCCUGUAGUC